rnacentral:rRNA from 1 species
UACGUAGGGCGCAAGCGUUGUCCGGAAUUAUUGGGCGUAAAGAGCUCGUAGGUGGCUUGUCACGUCGGGUGUGAAAGCUUGGGGCUUAACCGUCCAGUCUGCAUUCGAUACGGGCUGGCUAGAGGUAGGUAGGGGAGAACGAAUUCCUGGUGUAGCGGUGAAAUGCGCAGAUAUCAGGAGGAACACCGGUGGCGAAGGCGGUUCUCUGGGCCUACUGACGCUGAGGAGCGAAAGCGUGGGGAGCGAACAGG